AGAGAAUCCAACCAACAUUUUUAGAAACAAUUUGCAUGGUGGGUCUCAUGUGGCAGCAAGCAUUGGUACUUCAAAGCACUGAGCACUUCAGCUUUUGCCAGAGCUGACUCACAUGUCAGUCUCCUCUGUCACAGGCAGCGGCAAGUGACUUUAAUCACCCCGGCAAGUGACUUUAAUCACCCUGGCUGUCACUUGGAUGCGGAGAGCCGCCCUGGCUCAGGAAUCAAGCGCUGCACACAGCGAGACUGCACAGCCCCCGAGAGUUAUCUGGACACAGAAAGGUUUCUGUUCACGGACAGACUGCAUGACCUAGACAGGAAGCCUGGACCAGAGCACAGUUAGGCUGUGUCUGAGGAGAAACCAUGCCCAGCCCAUGCAGCAACCAGGCUGGCUGCAGAGAGAGCUGGCUCAGGGAAAACCAGCUCUGAAGAGGGCAGACGAAACAUGAGACAAGCCAGGAUGGAAACCUUGCCCGCUUUCUGACUAAAAUACAUCUUCUCCAGGAAUACAGCCUGAAGCUCAUCACAUAUAAAACACACUGGAAUUAAGAUAGUUCCAUGAACUCGACCUUGGAGGAAGUAAACUUGGCUCCAUUUAUGUUUCUCCCGAGCAUCUCCAGGAGAAGGCAGCAGCAGGAGGCUCCAUGUGUGCUGGAGAGGAGGCAGGGAUUUCUAACCAUGCUCUGCAGGCAAGGAAAAUACUGGAGGAAAAAUGACUUUGUUCUACUUGUACAGGACAGCAAAUAAAUAGUAGGGAAUAGA